rnacentral:rRNA from 1 species
UACGUAGGGUGCGAGCGUUAAUCGGAAUUACUGGGCGUAAAGCGUGCGCAGGCGGUUCGUUGUGUCGGUGGUGAAAGCCCCGGGCUUAACCUGGGAAUGGCCGUCGAAACUGGCGUACUGGAGUGUGGCAGAGGGGGGUGGAAUUCCGCGUGUAGCAGUGAAAUGCGUAGAGAUGCGGAGGAACACCGAUGGCAAAGGCAGCCCCCUGGGCUGACACUGACGCUCAGGCACGAAAGCGUGGGGAGCAAACAGG